GUCCCGGUAGCUCAAUUGGUAGAGCAGCGGCCUUUUAAGCCGUUGGUUGUGGGUUCGAGUCCCACCCGGGACA
rnacentral:tRNA from 1 species